AUUUUCACUACCUAUACAGGACUUCUAAAAUCUGGCUAAAUGGCUAGCCAGUUGUUUCACCAAACAUCACGAAUACACGCGAAUCUCCCUGGAAAAACUACUAUCAUAACGACUCGACUGUUUUGGGUUGGAUUGACAAAAGUGCGAUGAAAGCCUGGUCUCGGUGGCGCAGCGGUUCUUAAUCCCAACCACAAGCAGACACGCAGCAUCAGUUUGGGACGUCAACUCGCCUCUAGUGGCGGCAGCUAGAUGAUCCUCUGCACCCUCUUCUGGUCAUACAGCGGUCGGCUCCCAACCUGAUGGUUGCUGGUUCGAGCUUCAGUUGGGCCGUGGGGGUAUGCUGGACCCUAUCCCAGCUGACUUCGGGCGACAGGCGGGGUACACCCUGGACUGGUCGCCAGCCAAUUGCAGGGCACGUAUAGACAAACAACCAUUCACACUCACAUUCAUACCUAUGGACAAUUUAGAGUCUCCAAUUAACCUAACAUGCAUGUUUUUGGAAUGUGGGAGGAAACCGGAGUACCCGGAGAAAACCCACGCACGCACCGGGGGAACAUGCAAACUCCACACCAUGAUGCCCAAGCCAAGAUUUGAACCCAGCUCUUCCCGAUCUCCUGUUCCCUAUUUCUGCAAGUGCAUGUGGGAGGAAACUGGAGUACCCGGAGAAAACCCACACACGCACGGGGAGAACAUGCAAACUCCACACAGAACUGCCCAACGGAGAUUGGAACCUACUGUAGGUCUUCCCGACCUCCUGACUGUGACUGUGUGGCCAUCAUGCCAACCACUAGACCACCAUGCGGCCCGCGCCCUGAAAUGUGUAACAGAAAUGUGUUUUUCUACAUUUAUUUGUUAUGGUUGCUAUUAUUUAAUACUGAAUUGAAAAAUCCACCUUUCGUUAUGUGUUGCCUUGACUUCGGUUGUGUUGUCUUUUUGAUAAUUGUUUUGCAUAUUUUAUGAUUGAAAUGUUUAAUAGCAAACUGGAUGUGUGCAUGCACUGUGAAAAUAAUGAACGCUAUGUAGUUUGAUUGAAAUAUUAUUCACACUAUAAACAGAACUAUUAACGAAUUAUUAUCUUUAUCGUCAUGUUGAAUUCAAUUGUAAAUUAUUAUUUGCUUAUUAUUUCUUUUAUUGUUAUUUUUACAAGGUGCUGUUUGUUUUAUAUGGUUCCAACUUCUAAGUAUGCACAGCAAGAAAUGAGGCAGGUACCGUAUAGCUACACCACAUACAUUUCAUUUAGGUUAAAAACUGUACUUGGAAGUUGAAACAAAUGUUUGU